GCGGGGGUAGUUCAGCGAUAGAACGCUUCCUUGCCAAGGAAGAGGUCGCGGGUUUGAUUCCCGUUCCCCGCU
rnacentral:tRNA from 1 species